rnacentral:rRNA from 1 species
AGAGUUUGAUCCUGGCUCAGAUUGAACGCUGGCGGCAUGCCUUACACAUGCAAGUCGAACGGCAGCGCGGGGCAACCUGGCGGCGAGUGGCGAACGGGUGAGUAAUAUAUCGGAACGUACCCUGGAGUGGGGGAUAACGUAGCGAAAGUUACGCUAAUACCGCAUACGAUCUAAGGAUGAAAGUGGGGGAUCGCAAGACCUCAUGCUCCUGGAGCGGCCGAUAUCUGAUUAGCUAGUUGGUAGGGUAAAAGCCUACCAAGGCAUCGAUCAGUAGCUGGUCUGAGAGGACGACCAGCCACACUGGAACUGAGACACGGUCCAGACUCCUACGGGAGGCAGCAGUGGGGAAUUUUGGACAAUGGGCGCAAGCCUGAUCCAGCAAUGCCGCGGG